rnacentral:rRNA from 1 species
GAUGAACGCUGGCGGCGUGCCUAAUACAUGCAAGUCGAGCGAACGGACGAGAAGCUUGCUUCUCUGAUGUUAGCGGCGGACGGGUGAGUAACACGUGGAUAACCUACCUAUAAGACUGGGAUAACUUCGGGAAACCGUAGCUAAUACCGGAUAAUAUUUUGAACCGCAUGGUUCAAAAGUGAAAGACGGUCUUGCUGCCACUUAUAGAUGGAUCCGCGCUGCAUUAGCUAGUUGGUAAGGUAACGGCUUACCAAGGCAACGAUGCAUAGCCGACCUGAGAGGGUGAUCGGCCACACGGGAACUGGGACACGGUCCAGACUCCUACGAGAGGCAGCAGUAGGGAAUCUUCCGCAAUGGGCGAAAGCCUGACGGAGCAACGCCGCGUGAGUGAUGAAGGUCUUCGGAUCGUAAAACUCUGUUAUUAGGGAAGAACAUAUGUGUAAGUAACUGUGCACAGCUUGACGGUACCUAAUCAGAAAGCCACGGCUAACUACGUG